UGCUGCAGCUCAGAGGUAGAGCAUUUGCCUGGCAUGCACAAGGCCCUGGGUCCAAUCCCCAGCAAGGAA
rnacentral:tRNA from 1 species